rnacentral:rRNA from 1 species
AGAGUUUGAUCCUGGCUCAGGAUGAACGCUGGCGGCGUGCCUAAUACAUGCAAGUCGAGCGAACUGAUUAGAAGCUUGCUUCUAUGACGUUAGCGGCGGACGGGUGAGUAACACGUGGGCAACCUGCCUGUAAGACUGGGAUAACUUCGGGAAACCGAAGCUAAUACCGGAUAGGAUCUUCUCCUUCAUGGGAGAUGAUUGAAAGAUGGUUUCGGCUAUCGCUUACAGAUGGGCCCGCGGUGCAUUAGCUAGUUGGUGAGGUAACGGCUCACCAAGGCAACGAUGCAUAGCCGACCUGAGAGGGUGAUCGGCCACACUGGGACUGAGACACGGCCCAGACUCCUACGGGAGGCAGCAGUAGGGAAUCUUCCGCAAUGGACGAAAGUCUGACGGAGCAACGCCGCGUGAGUGAUGAAGGCUUUCGGGUCGUAAAACUCUGUUGUUAGGGAAGAACAAGUACGAGAGUAACUGCUCGUACCUUGACGGUACCUAACCAGAAAGCCACGGCUAACUACGUGCCAGCAGCCGCGGUAAUACGUAGGUGGCAAGCGUUAUCCGGAAUUAUUGGGCGUAAAGCGCGCGCAGGCGGUUUCUUAAGUCUGAUGUGAAAGCCCACGGCUCAACCGUGGAGGGUCAUUGGAAACUGGGGAACUUGAGUGCAGAAGAGAAAGUCGAAUUCACGUGUAGCGGUGAAAUGCGUAGAGAUGUGGAGGAACACAGUGGCGAAGGCGGCUUUUUGUCUGUAACUGACGCUGAAGCGCGAAAGCGUGGGGAGCAACAGGAUUAGAUACCUGGUAGUCAAGGGCGACUCGUUUAAAC